GUUGCCGUUUCCCCCUGCUAUUUCCGUUUCCGCGCUUCAAGCGGAUCUCUUCCGCUUAUGGCGCCCGCUGGGAGUGUCUUAUCAGCCGCUUAUACCGCGGAAACUUUAACCUGCGUUUUCCCGUAGAAAUUUUCCUCUCUAGGACACUGGGAGAAUACAGGAUCUGGUUUCCAGUGCCACAGUGGUGAUCACACAGGAAUAAACGGGACACAGGUCAGACAACAGCCAGAAAGACAUCUGCCAGUAUAUGUUUCCUGUGAGAUGGACACCUGGUCCCAGGUCAGACACAGGUGUUAGAGCGUGAGCUAGAUUUUGAUUCAGAGUCAUCGAUGUCUUCACACCACCCUCUGUGGCAUGAACAGAGAUGGUAAUGAAGCAUUUCUUAGAAAACAAGGCUGGACCACUGCCUGUGUGAUUUCCACCUUUCUUGCUGACACCAUUCUGCAUGUUUUGAUGUUCCUAAGAUGGAAACUUAGGCGAUCAUUGGGCAUCAUCAUAGGGUCUACCUGCCAAAUCAGGUCUUCUUCGUUCUGCAAAAGUUUCUCAGUCACCACUUAUAUUUCAUGACUUUGACCCUUGUGAAAAUACCAGUCAGAUAUCUUGUGGAAUGUCCCGCAAUGUGUAUUUGUCUGAUGGUUUCUCAUAAUUAGACUAGAAACAAUGUGUAAAUUAAACAUAUUUUUCCAAAUUAGAAAACAAGAAAAACAGAAUAACAUAUUAGUUAGAAGUAUUAACACAGGGCUGGACGCAGUGGCUUAUGCCUGUAAUCCCAACACUUUGGGAGGUGAAGGUGGGCACAUUAAUUGAAUCCAGCAAUUCAGCAAUUCAAGACCAAUCUGGGCAACAUGGCAAAACGCUGUUUCUACAAAAAAAUGCAAAAAAUUAGCUAGAUGUUGCAGCAUAUGUCUGCAGUCUCAGCUACUCGGGAGGCUGAGGUGGGAGGAUUGGGAGGGUGGCCUGAGCGUGGGAGGUCAAGGUUCACUGAGCUGUGAUUGUGCCAUAGCGCUCCAACCUGGGCAAGAGAGUGAGACCAUAUCCCAACAAAAAAGAGAGAAAAGAAAAAAUAACAGAGAAAAAUAAUUUUUAAAAAUCAGGUAAUGACAAAUAGGGAGUUCCAAAUAUAUUGCUAAUGGUCUGUUAAGCUUGACAGUGCUUUUAGAAAACUUGUUCUGUUUAGAAUAGUGUUAGACUCACAGAACAAAUUGGUAAUAUAAAGAGUUUACAUAUACCACACACAGUUUUCCUUAUUAUAAAUCUUAACAUUAGUGUGCUACGCUUGUUACAAUUAAGAACCAGUGUUAAACAUUAUCAUUCACUGCUAUCCAUGCUUUAUUCACAUGUCCUUAAUUUCACUUAAUGUCCAUUUUUUGAUUCUGGAAUCCCAUCCAGGAUGACACAUCACAUUUAGAUGUCAUUCCUCUUCAUGCUUCAUAAGCUGUUGACACU